AAGUCGUAACAAGGUCUCCGUAGGUGAACCUGCGGAGGGAUCAUUAACACGUUUUAAAACACGUUUUAACACAACCAACCAACCACGUGAACUAUUUAACACUCCUGGAAGAAAAGAAUUCUGUCUUUAUACGCUAAUGAUGAGUUCUCUCGCAAGAGAGAGCGGCGUGUCUAGACUAGCAUGGCUGUUCUACACUUCAUUGUGUCUUGCAUACCUGUAAAGACCUUUUCUUUUGGGCUUAAUGCUUCUCUCAUCACUGGAGCGAAAACACCCCUUUCACCACUUCUAUAACUAUUGACUGAUCUUUUUCUUUGCAACAUAAGAAAAAACCUAAUCAAAUAUCUAAGCACAACUCUUAGCAACGGAUAUCUUGGUUCUC
rnacentral:misc_RNA from 1 species